GUAGGUGGCAAGCGUUGUCCGGAAUUAUUGGGCGUAAAGCGCGCGCAGGCGGUUCUUUAAGUCUGAUGUGAAAGCCCACGGCUCAACCGUGGAGGGUCAUUGGAAACUGGAGAACUUGAGUACAGAAGAGGAAAGCGGAAUUCCACGUGUAGCGGUGAAAUGCGUAGAGAUGUGGAGGAACACCAGUGGCGAAGGCGGCUUUCUGGUCUGUAACUGACGCUGAGGCGCGUAAGCGUGGGGAGCAAACAGGAUUAGAUACCCUGGUAGUCCACGCCGUAAACGAUGAGUGCUAAGUGUUAGGGGGGUUUUCCGCCCCCCUUAGUGCUGCAGCUAACGCAUUAAGCACUCCGCCUGGGAUACGGCCGCAAGGCUG
rnacentral:rRNA from 1 species